rnacentral:rRNA from 1 species
GGCCGGGAACUCAAAGGAGACUGCCAGUGAUAAACUGGAGGAAGGUGGGGAUGACGUCAAGUCAUCAUGCCCUUACGACCAGGGCUACACACGUGCUACAAUGGCAUAUACAAAGAGAAGCGACCUCGCGAGAGCAAGCGGACCUCAUAAAGUAUGUCGUAGUCCGGAUUGGAGUCUGCAACUCGACUCCAUGAAGUCGGAAUCGCUAGUAAUCGUAGAUCAGAAUGCUACGGUGAAUACGUUCCCGGGCCUUGUACACACCGCCCGUCACACCAUGGGAGUGGGUUGCAAA